rnacentral:rRNA from 1 species
GACGUAGGGUGCGAGCAUUGUCCGGAUUUAUUGGGCGUAAAGAGCUCGUAGGCGGCUCGUCGCGUCAGCUGUGAAAACCCGCAGCUUAACUGUGGGCUUGCAGCUGAUACGGGCGGGCUAGAGUUCGGUAGGGGAGACUGGAAUUCCUGGUGUAGCGGUGAAAUGCGCAGAUAUCAGGAGGAACACCGGUGGCGAAGGCGGGUCUCUGGGCAGUAACUGACGCUGAGGAGCGAAAGCGUGGGGAGCGAACAGG